AGAACGAACGCUGGCGGCAUGCCUAAUACAUGCAAGUCGAACGAAGGCUUCGGCCUUAGUGGCGCACGGGUGCGUAACGCGUGGGAAUCUGCCCCUUGGUUCGGAAUAACAGUUGGAAACGACUGCUAAUACCGGAUGAUGACGAAAGUCCAAAGAUUUAUCGCCAAGGGAUGAGCCCGCGUAGGAUUAGCUAGUUGGUGAGGUAAAGGCUCACCAAGGCGACGAUCCUUAGCUGGUCUGAGAGGAUGAUCAGCCACACUGGGACUGAGACACGGCCCAGACUCCUACGGGAGGCAGCAGUAGGGGAAUAUUGGACAAUGGGGCGAAAACGUCGUAGUACCACGACGAACUAGU
rnacentral:rRNA from 1 species